rnacentral:rRNA from 1 species
ACGGGGGGACGGGGUGCAGCAGGCGCGAAACCUCCGCAAUGUGAGAAAUCGCGACGGGGGGGAUCCCAAGUGCCAUUCUUAACGGGAUGGCUUUUCAUUAGUGUAAAGAGCUUUUGGGAAUAAGGGCUGGGCAAGACCGGUGCCAGCCGCCGCGGUAAU